CAAACCAGGCAGAGGGGAUCUCUUGGCUAUUACCAUGUUUUGUUGGUGAGGCUUCAACAUAGCCACAUGAGGGGCAUCCAUCUCUAUCUGACACCUUUUCCAAUGGAGGGAAGCUUCUCCUCCACCUGAGAAGGGGGCUACUGCCUCAUUUUUGGUCCAACCACCCUCUUCAUCUCCAUGUUGAAGGCUACUUCCAGCCACAUGGCACUAUUGCUACUACCAUUUGUCUCCAUCUGUCCAAAGCUCAGAAGAGGAGAGGAGCUGUUACCUUCUCCUGCUUCUCUUGCCCCCAGUUGUUCCUGCUGACCCCAAGGACAUCUGCCUCUUUCAGUGCAGGGUGGACGAUGUCCAGGGAAUGGUUCCCUGCCUCAUUCACUACAAAUCUUCCAAAUUUUGCAACAAACGAGGCAGGAGUCUUAAUCAAUGGCCUGAUUCAUCCCCAGAGCACCAUCCAUUUGAUGCACUGAAUGAGGUUUUGUUUUCAUAACACACACCAUCUUGAAGAUGAGUUAGCAUGGACACCUGAAGCUUCAUCUUCAUUUUCUUAUAUACACUUUUAUUUUCAUUACAAGAGUAUAAGAAGAUAAAUAAACAGGACAAAAUCAAUUCAUACUUUUGAGUAUUAAGACUAUAUUGCAAAUGAAUUCAAUUUCCUGAAAAUCUGAAGGUUUGAAAAAGUCAGACUUGGAACUUUUUUUUUUUUAUCUUAAAAUAAUGGGAGCAGAAAAUUAAUUACUCUGUGCAGCAGCCUUAAUGGUAUGGACUUAGGGUCCUCCCCAGGUGUUAUUUUUCUUUCAUAAUAUGUAUGCACUUCUGAAGCCUGUGUUUUUAUUCUGCAUUUCCAUGUUCUCUAUUGUUUAACUUCUCAAGUCACAAACACCUAACAACUGCCUGGUAGGAACUGUAACCCCCUUCAGAGCCUGGAACAUACUGUUGAGUGCACAUCCAUCAAAACGGCACUGGAAGAACACUAGGAAGGAUGCUGUGCCUUAAUGAAACUUUAACUGCAGUGGAAAUGCCUUCAGAGGUUUGUCCCUGGGUGUAACACAGGAGAAGUUAGCAAAUUGGUUCCCUUUUUCAUUUAUCAUUUGUCAGGCCUUCAAUGUAUUGUUUUAGUCCCAUAUUUUACAGCAUAUUAUAUAAUCAGGACCCAAUGGCCCAUUGUGUUAUGCCAGUGUAAAACUGGGGUAAGUCUAUAGCUUUCAGUGAAGAUUCACUAGUGUAAAAUUAGUGCAAAGCAGUGGAGAAUCAAGCCCUCAUUGUAUAGAUUUGAGCAGAGGAGGUUACGAAUGUUAGUCUUUUAAAUAUUUAAUCUUCUUUCCUGAGCAGAUAAACUUGAGAAAUAAAAAUCACCUGAGAGAAAUA